rnacentral:misc_RNA from 1 species
UCCCCCGUGAGGGGGCAGUCUCGCCUGACUAAUAAAACAGGCAACGAGGGUUGCGUUCGUUACCCCACUGAAGGGAACAACUCAAGCCACGAACUGACGACGACCAUGCAUCACCUGCUCAUAUGCCUUGCGGGGUCCAGUGUUUCCAUAGGAUUUCAUAUGAGUUUCAAAUCGUGGUGAGGUUUUUCGUUUGUCAUCGAAUUAAGCCGCAUGAUCCACCGCUUGUGCAAGUCCCCGUCUAUUCCUUUGAGUUUUAAUCUUGCGAUCGUACUACCCAGGCGCAUCACUUAACGCGUUAGCUUCGCCUCAAAGAGGGUCGAUACUCCUUAAAGCCAGUGAUGAUCGUUUAGGGCGUGGACUAC